UGAACGCUGGCGGCAUGCCUUACACAUGCAAGUCGAACGGCAGCGCGGACUUCGGUCUGGCGGCGAGUGGCGAACGGGUGAGUAAUACAUCGGAACGUGUCCUGUAGUGGGGGAUAGCCCGGCGAAAGCCGGAUUAAUACCGCAUACGCUCUACGGAGGAAAGGGGGGGAUCUUAGGACCUCUCGCUACAGGGGCGGCCGAUGGCAGAUUAGCUAGUUGGUGGGGUAAAGGCCUACCAAGGCGACGAUCUGUAGCUGGUCUGAGAGGACGACCAGCCACACUGGGACUGAGACACGGCCCAGACUCCUACGGGAGGCAGCAGUGGGGAAUUUUGGACAAUGGGGGCAACCCUGAUCCAGCAAUGCCGCGUGUGUGAAGAAGGCCUUCGGGUUGUAAAGCACUUUUGUCCGGAAAGAAAACUUCGCCGCCAAUAGCGGUGG
rnacentral:rRNA from 1 species